CCAUCUUCCAGCAAGGAGGCAAGCUCUGAAUAGGGGCCUAGAAGAAAUCCCUCCUGAAAACAUCUGCUGAGCCUGUGGCACAUGGUGGAAAGUCAUGCCCUUGAGUCUUUCUUGGCAAAGGUUUUUAGAUUGCUUCCUUCAUUGUCCUGAUAAGAGGCAUCAGUCAAUGUGGAUAUUCACGACUCUAAACUUACUUAACAGCCAGCAGAGCACUUAUUAACUAGCCAAGCAGAAUGACACCAGCUAGCACUCUGUACCUGUGCUCCUGCCCUGAAAGGCAGCACAAUGAGAAUGCCAGGGCUAGCCCACUGGCUACCUACAAGAGGGUAAGCAGGCAGAGCAGUUUCCAUGAAACUGACCCCAAAGUCUUGAGGACAAGAACAGAAUAGGGGAAUGAGAUUCUGUACUGACCCAAAUUAGAGUACAUUAUGU
rnacentral:lncRNA from 1 species